rnacentral:pre_miRNA from 1 species
CAGGUACUCCCUCCGUCCGAAAAUACUUGUCAUCAAAAUGGACAAAAAGGGGUGUAUCUAGAACUAAAAUACAUCUAGAUACAUCCCCUUUUAUUCAUUUUGAUGACAAGUAUUUUCGGACGGAGGGAGUACUAA